GACAGAGGGGGCAAGCGUUGCUCGGAAUUACUGGGCGUAAAGGGCGCGUAGGCGGGAUGGCAAGUCGGUCGUGAAAUCCCUCGGCUCAACCGAGGAACGUCGAUCGAUACUGCUGUUCUUGAGGAUUGCAGAGGAGACUGGAAUUCCCGGUGUAGCGGUGAAAUGUGUAGAGAUCGGCAGGAACACCCAGGGAGAAAUCAGCCGCCUGGGCAAGUGCUGACGCUGAGGUGCGAAAGCGUGGGGAGCGAACCGG
rnacentral:rRNA from 1 species